rnacentral:rRNA from 1 species
CAGCCGCCGCGGUAAUACGGAGGGUGCAAGCGUUAAUCGGAAUUACUGGGCGUAAAGCGCACGCAGGCGGUCUGACAAGUCAGAUGUGAAAUCCCCGGGCUUAACCUGGGAACUGCAUUUGAAACUGUCAGGCUGGAGUCUUGUAGAGGGGGGUGGAAUUCCAGGUGUAGCGGUGAAAUGCGUAGAGAUCUGGAGGAAUACCGGUGGCGAAGGCGGCCCCCUGGACAAAGACUGACGCUCAGGUGCGAAAGCGUGGGGAGCAAACAGGAUUAGAUACCCCAGUAGUCCCUGUCUUUUAUAC